rnacentral:rRNA from 1 species
GAAUCAGUACGCUGGUCGUGCCUUCGGUAUGUACUGGUGUCACUGGUUUCUCCCUUCUGAAGAACCAUCAUGCCAUUCACUUGGUGUGGUGGGAAAUCAGGACUGUUACUUUGAAAAAAUUAGAGUGUUUAAAGCAGGCGUUGAAAAACAAGUGCCCUGAAUACUACAGCAUGGAAUAAU